GUUGAGCGCUGAAGGUUGGUACUUGUACCGACUGGAUGAGCAGCGAACGGGUCAGUUACGCGUGGGGAAUCUGCCUUUGAGCGGGGGACAACAUUUGCAUACGAAUGCUAAUACCGCAUAACAACUUUAAACACAAGUUACUUAAGUUUGAAAGAUGCAAUUGCAUCACUCAAAGAUGAUCCCGCGUUGUAUUAGCUAGUUGGUGAGGUAAAGGCUCACCAAGGCGAUGAUACAUAGCCGACCUGAGAGGGUGAUCGGCCACAUUGGGACUGAGACACGGCCCAAACUCCUACGGGAGGCAGCAGUAGGGAAUCUUCGGCAAUGGACGAAAGUCUGACCGAGCAACGCCGCGUGAGUGAAGAAGGUUUUCGGAUCGUAAAACUCUGUUGGUAGAGAAGAACGUUGGUGAGAGUGGAAAGCUCAUCAAGUGACGGUAACUACCCAGAAAGGGACGGCUAACUACGUGCCAGCAGCCGCGGUAAUACGUAGGUCCCGAGCGUUGUCCCGAUUUAUUGGGCGUAAAGCGAGCGCAGGUGGGUUAUUAAGUCUGGUGUAAAAGGCAGUGGCUCAACCAUUGUAUGCAUUGGAAACUGGUAGACUUGAGUGCAGGAGAGGAGAGUGGAAUUCCAUGUGUAGCGGUGAAAUCAGCGUAGAUAUAUGGAGGAACACCGGUGGGGAAAGCGGCUCUCUGGCCUGUAACUGACACUGAGGCUCGAAAGCGUGGGGAGCAAACAAGAUUAGAUACCCUGGUAGUCCACGCCGUAAACGAUGAGAGCUAGAUGUAGGGAGCUAUAAAUUCUCUGUAUCGCAACUAACGCAAUAAACACUCCGCCUGGGGGAGACGACCGCCAAGGUGAAA
rnacentral:rRNA from 1 species